rnacentral:rRNA from 1 species
AUUGAACGCUGGCGGCAUGCUUUACACAUGCAAGUCGAACGGUAACAGGUCUUCGGAUGCUGACGAGUGGCGAACGGGUGAGUAAUACAUCGGAACGCGCCUAGUAGUGGGGGAUAACUACUCGAAAGAGUAGCUAAUACCGCAUGAGAUCUACGGAUGAAAGCAGGGGACCUUCGGGCCUUGUGCUACUAGAGCGGCUGAUGGCAGAUUAGGUAGUUGGUGGGGUAAAGGCUUACCAAGCCUGCGAUCUGUAGCUGGUCUGAGAGGACGACCAGCCGCACUGGGACUGAGACAGGGCCCAGACACCUACGGGAGGCAGCAGUGGUGAAUUUUGGACAAUGGGCGAAAGCCUGCUCCAGCAAUGCCGCGUGCAGGAUGAAGGCCCUCGGGUUGUAAACUGCUUUUGUACGGAACGAAAAGCCUGGGGCUAAUACCCCCGGGUCAUGACGGUACCGUAAGAAUAAGCACCGGCUAACUACGUGCCAGCCGCCGCAGUAACAC